ensembl:lncRNA
CUGGUGGUCAGUUUGAUCAGGCACCUUUUCUAGACGGAGCAAGUGGUCAGGACCCCCAUGGACCCUCACAGAGCAGAUGUAAAGUCAGAGACGACAGCUCAUCUGCUGCUGCACAGUUUGUGUUGGUCAUCCUCUAGUCCUUCAUCAGUGGUCACAGGACGCUGCCCACAGGACGCUGCCCACAGGACGCUGCCCACAGGACGCUGCCCACAGGACGCUGCCCACAGGACGCUGCCCACAGGACGCUGCCCACAGGACGCUGCUGGCUGGAUGUUUUUGGUUGGUGGACUAUUCUCAGUCCAGCAGCGACACUGAGGUGUUAAACUCCAGCAGCACUGCUGGCUGAUCCACUCAGACCAGGUGUAUAUCCACCUACUCAGUCUACAGCAGUUAAACCCCGUCCAUUUAGGCAAAGGUUAUAAAGAGUGUUGAGCUGUUUUACAUAUAUCAGUCUUAAAGGCACAGUAAGAGAUGAAGAGAGGCUGGAAAAUGGUUUUGCAUAAUUGUUCUGACACUGUGAAAUACUGUUAGAUCUAUUAUCUACAAAUAAGCAAAAGUAUAGACAAGAUUCAGGCUUGAAGAUGGCGAGUGCUACUGUUUACAGCUGUCUGAUGUGGUUUUGUCUGUUUUUAUGCAUAAUGAGAUUUGUUUCUCCAUCUGGCCUCCGAUGAGAGAAGUUCGGACACCGCUGGUCUAAAACCGUAGCGCUACCGCAGGAAAAUACGGCCAAGGUAAAAAUGAGUAGAAGUGCAAAGCCCUAAUUACGUACUGUGUAACUUAUAGAACUGCCGGGGACUGGAGUUUGUUGGACUCUACACUCUUUAAAAAAAGUUUUUUUCAAGAUGGUUUCUUUAGUAAAGAUAAUAGUUUUAUCUAGAACCAUGUACGCUCAACGAACCGUGUGUAUUUGCAAGGUGAAAUGGUUCUUCAGAUUAAUGGAGAAUGUAUAGGGUUCUAUCUUAAAACUUUUUGAAAAUGGUUCUAUAUAGCACCAAAAACUGUUCUGCUGUUGUUAUGAUGUCAAAUUUAUAGUAAUACAUACACAACUUCUAAGCCGCUUCUCCUUCUGGGUCGCGGGGGGAGGCUGGAGCCUAUCGCAGCGGUCAUCGGAAGGCAGGACACACCCUGGACAGGUCACCAGUGCGUCACAGGGCAGACAGACUGUGGGAGAAAACCGGAGAACCCGGAAGAAACCCACACAGACACGGGGAGAACAUGCAAACUCCACACAGAGAGGACCCCGGUCACCCGGCCAGGGAAUCAAACCCAGACCCUUCUUACUGUGAGGUGACGGCACUACCCACCACGCCACCGUGCCGCCCUAGUAAUAAACAAUAGAACCCUUUUUGCUGCUAUAUAGAACCAUAUCGCUGUUGUCAUAUGCCGUAUCUCUAAAAUCAUAACUUUACAGGAGAAGGAAAAACAUACUCUACUUUUAAUGCAAGUCAAUGGAACCAGAAUUUUCAGUCAUUUUGGGCCGUUUCUUUUGGUCCGUUCUUCAUGAAACUUCCACACGAUAUUUUUAAAUUGUCAAAACGUGAAAGACAAAUAUGGAGAUACAAGGUUUUCUUCCAACUGCCGCGGUAUACAGCACAUUUUCCAUCAAUCUGAAGAACCAUUACACCGUGCAGAGAACCCUUCAAGCAUCGAGUGCUCAUGGUUCGACAUAGAACCAUUGUUUUAACUAAAGAACUAUUUUUUAAAAAGUGUACAUUUCAAUAUUUGGAUCAUUUUGAUGUAAAACAAAAGGGUAAAGCUGCGAAGUGAGACCUCUGACCAAUCACAGAGCAUUACAGACGCUGACCCAAUACAACAGAAUGAAAUUAAUCACCAAAAAGGAUCUAAAGGUUAAUGAAUAAAGUGUAACUGACUGAGGAACGUACAGAUGUAGAUGUAGUGUCGCUGUGUUGUGCUGGAAGGCUGUUGCUCUGCGUCACAUGCCGUGCCGUAUGUGAGCCUGAAGGAAUGUGUCAACAGAGAGACUCUCACCAAACCAGCAGAUUCCUGUCCUGCCUCCCCCCAGCUUCGGUAAACACUCAGGACCCCCGAGAUCAUCAGCCUGAGACUAACUGUUUCAGUAUCAGGAGGGCUCUCGUCUCCUCUACCGUCCACUCUGACCGCUCACAGACUUAGCUGUGAACUUUGGUCCCGAUGACCUUGUCGAACAUCCUUCAACAGAGACAUGCAGGUCAAUGCCCCCGAGCCCCAAAGACCAUGAGAACCAGUGGAUGAGUCUGUCAGACACAUGCAAACACACACACACACACACACACACACACACACACACACACACACACACACAGGAUCAUCAUUCCGGGUUGGGUCUCUAUCCACCGAGUGUCCGUGUCCACUCUCGAGUCUCUGCGAUGCGAGUUUGAAUUAAGCCUCGAUUUACUGGAUGUGCGGUCAAGUCCUGAGUCUGAAUCCAGCCUCGACUCUGAUGUCUGUUUCAUAAGUGUUUGUGGUGCAACCCUGAACCAUGUCUUAAGGUACUGUAGUGCGAGUCUGAGUCA